GCUUGUUACUACUGAGAGGGAUUAAUGAGGGUUAAUUUUAAAGGUGUAUUUUAAAAGUAAAAUAUGAAAUAUCUAACUUAUCAAAGAUGAACACAAAACCUGAAAAAAACAAAAUAAUCCUGUAACCAAAGUAGAUCCAAAAAUGCUACCAAAUGAAUACCUUAACCAAAAUAUCAAUGAAAUUCCACUAUGUACCAUUAGUUCUUAUAUUAGAAACAAAAGUAAGCAUUUAUAUAUAAUUGACCUAGGUUAAUCAUUUUCGAUAAAAUAUGCAAAAAAGACAAAUGGGGGUCCAACAAUUUCUAAGCACAAAGCA
rnacentral:lncRNA from 1 species